GGCCUAGGGAGACACUAAAUUGCAAGUUUAGUUUUGAAAGUAAAUUUUCAUAGGCUUA
rnacentral:tRNA from 1 species